rnacentral:lncRNA from 1 species
UUGAGAUUACAGCGGUGGUCCUUCCAAGCUGACCUGAACAUCCGAUCUGGGAAGCUGGCAUAGAGUGGCUUAGGUUCAACUUUAAAUGAGUUCGGAGAUUGGUACAAACAAGCCCCUAUUUGCCGUGACUUAAAAAUUUGAUAAAAAUUAAAGUUAAAGUUAACAAUUAAUUUUAGUCGCACAUUUCAUAAGACUCACAAUUUUUAUGAACUUUUCAACCUUAUAUUUCAUCAACUUAUGUCAAAAUGUACUAAAAAUCUGAUUUUUAGCUAUACCAAACAUGGGCUUAGUUGAAUGCAAGAUUGCCAAACUCCUCGCUUGUAUUUUUUAAUUGAGCCAAUAUUAAUUUUGUUUGUUGCUGGAAAUUUAUAUCUUGAGGCAAUAAUGAUGUUUAGCCAACUGAGCACUAGGAUGACUGGCAUGCAUAAGGACCUAUAAGAUUGUGCAUCAUCUUGAACCAUAAUCAAUAUUAAAGUUGAUAACCAAGUGCACCUUGAGAUUAUACAAACAAUUUUUUCUUGAUUAUGAGCUUUCCUUUUCAGAUGGAGCCGGAAGUGGUGGAAGUGGAGCUAGUGUUGCCCACUCACAUGAAAUUUAAAAAGAUUCAGAUGUAUGAGAAGUACCCUAAGGGACAGGAUAGAGUGAGGUGGAACCAUCUCAAGCAGAUCAUUCAAGCCGAGAAUUACCAAAAUUAUCCACCCAAUGAACCAAAUUGUAAGUUCCAGCUUAAAUGUGUGACGUGCAAUUUUAUUUGUUGGUAUUUAGUUAGAAGGAUGGAUUGCACGAAGAUGUUACAACAGUGAGUAGUUAUCUGCAAAAGUUCUAGUUUAUGGAACCAAAUCAGUAGCAUUGAACUGAAUAAAUCAAAUUGUUGGCCGAGUGGAGAGAUGUAAAAACAGUGGAGUUACUAAAUAUUACUUCUCUUCUUAAUAGAUUAUGAUAAAAGUUUAUGAAAUUAUGGUGGAAAAGUUGAUAAAAGUUACCAGUCUCAUAAAUUUGUGUUUGAAAAUGAAUUUGGGAAAAAAUGAGUUCUAAAAAACGGGGCUAAACAAGGGCUUAAUGCUAUAACUAUAUCCAAUAAUAAGUGUAAAUUGUGUAGUUAUCUAUUAUUUAAAAUACAUAUACUUUUUUUGAGAACUGUUAAUUAAUAAAUAUUACUUUUUUUAAUAAGUUAUUGGUAAUAACAAUAGUUAUCUAUCAUGUAAACACUUUGUUAUCGAUUGUGAAGAAUAAUAUAAUAAGUUUUAAAAGAAAUUAAAACCAAUAAAAUUCUUCUUCUUCACGUGUCCUAAGAUGUCCAAUACAUAUUGAAAAUUUUAAAAAUAUAAAAAUAUAAAAUAACUAAAAAAAACCUAUCCGGUAUGUAUUUGAGAGUUUCCAAGCAUAUCCAAACUUGAAUACAUGAUAGAUAUGACACAUAUGAGUAUACAACAAGUUUACAAGUAUCCAUGCUUCUUAGACAUUCAAUACUGCUUGGCUUUUUUCUUAAAAUUCUACUUGUUUUAACUUAAUUAUUUAUGGCAUAUACCCUCCCAUUGCUUUUAUUUGCAGAUGUCAACAUUGAUUCACCUCCAUCUAUGCAGCCAUGCAAAAGAAUUUGUGAUAUAACCGGAUUCAAGGUAUUUUUCAUUUUAACUAUAUGUUCACUAUUGACUUUUCUCCAAAUUUAAACACAAGGAGAUGGUGUAAUGUAACCGUCGUCAUGUUGGUGUAUUUCUUGACAUGUUCUGAAGGGAAAUUUACUAAAUAAUAUUGGGUGUAUUUACAAAUUGUGUUUUCAAUAAUUACAAUUUACACACAUUGACUAACAUAAAAAUUAAUAGAACCUGUAAAAUGACUAAAAGACUCCUAAAAAUAUUAAAAUUCAAUUAUCAUUGUUUCUCCAGAGAUAUUUUAGAAACACCAAAUUCGAUUCUUCCCUUCAUUUCUUAACAUAUGGACCCAUUGGGUUUGGUUUUUCCUGAAUCAAGCAUGUUUAUCUUAUUUUUUGUUUUUGCUUUUAAACAUAUACACGGAUUAAUUUGUUCUGGUAACUGUACUUUGACUCAAUUGUGAAUAGGGUUACUGUACUUCAUCAUUUCACUUUAUUUUGGUACAACUCUCCUUCCCAUUCACUAACGGUUGUUGAUGUUCUAUGUUGUUUAAGUUAUUGCCGUUAUGCUAUGUAACAUCCUAACUGAUCAUCUUGCCUUGAAGUUGUGUCAUGAAUUUGGUUUGCAGGGUGUUGGCCAGUUGUGGUGUUGCUUAGUUUGGACACACUAUUAGUUCAAAGAAAGGAUAUACUUGUGGAUUUGUUAAACUGCUGUUUAGUUUAUGUCAUGCAACAUCCAGCCCUUUGUCCUCGAGCAAACUCAAGGGUCCAGACUUUGUGAUAGGAUAAGAAAUCAUGUAAUUGGAUUUAACCUUUGGAGAGCUUGCUACUCUCAGAUUGUAUGCAUUAUCUCUUUGUCCUCGUACGAUUAUUUUCUAUAUUCUGAUCAUAUGUGGCACUGAUUUUGAUGAACAAAUGCAUUACGCUUGAAUAGCAUAGUUUCUGAAUUCCAUUGCUGAAAUACCGCUUCGCGAAGCUCUCUAUCUGGCAAUUAAGUUUAUAGGCAC